ensembl:lncRNA
CCGAUGCUCAGUAGUGAUUAGCGUGGCUCAAGGUCCCUUUCCAGAACCUUCACACUAACUGUCCCUCAAUGGUGGAAUGAACUUCCAACCUAAAUCCAUACAGCAGAAUCUGUCACUAUCUUCAAAAAAUAGUUAAAGACCCUCCUCUUCUGUGAACACCUAUCUAACCCCUAAAACGCCAACCCCACAUUAUCCUUUAUAAAAAAAAUAAUAAUAAUAAUAAUAAUAAAUAAUAUUUAAAAAAACAAAAUUAAAUUUAAAAAAACUUACUCUGGCACUUACACCUCUACUCUGUGCACUUUGCUUUUCUAGAACUCAAUUAAAAGAUCUUGUAUGGUAGCACUAUUUGUAUUGUUCUCCGGCUGAUAUAUCACUUUGCUUGUAUUUCCUCAUUUGUAGGUCACUUUGUAUAAAAGCUUCUGCUAAAUGAAUAAAUGAAAAUGUAAAUAUAAAUGGAUAUAGACCCGCCUUGUUGAGAAUCGUGUCACAGAGUUACUGCCUUUUCCGGUCUCGCAUGCCUAUUGGCGUGUAGGAAAGCUUCUUGUUUGCUUCCUAUGGUGUGUGGGAGAGUAUUUGGACUGUUUCCCACCAUUGACAUGUCUGCAGUCCAGUCACAGCGUCAACGUUGAUUUUGCUCUUGUCUGUUGUGACUGGGAUUCCUUGCACCCUAGACAUACAGUAUAUGCCAUCAAUUAACGGGGAGGAUUCCAUUGCCACGGUUACUGGAGGCUUGCCCUUUUUCUGCGGUGCCUUGCUGUUUUGCUGUUGGCUUGACGUAGAUACUGUGUUAUAGGAUUGGCCAUCUAAUCAUCAUUUCAUCACUGGUGGGGGUUUGAAUUUUCUUGUUGUCUAUCUUGCACUAGUAUAUGUGGUAACUGGUUAGUGUUUCAUGAUCCGAUGAUUCAUGAUCAGUUUUUUGGGGGUUAUUGGGUUUGUUUUUAUGUGGUGUUAUGUUAAUGAAUUAAGUGAUUACAUUUUUCUUGCAUUUUGGUGGAUGUCUUGACAGCUUUAAGGGUCAUUUUGUGUGUGUGGUUAUUCAUAUUUAUCUAGUACUUUCUUAUGAUUAUCUUAUGAUUAUGAUUUUUCGUAUGUAUAUUUGUCAAUUUCUCUUUCUCUUUUGUUAGGAGCCGGGUGUCUAGGAGCAAGGGGAGUUGACUCGUAGUUUUGUGGUGCAUGUGCACUGGUGAAUGAAGGUGAUGAAGGUGAAGCAUGGCUGUGGGCGUCCUGGCCCAAGAGCAUGGCAGGAGUUAUCGUCCAGUAGCUUAUCUGUCUGAAACUCUUGACGCUGUGGUACAGGGCAUGCCUGCCUGUUUACAGGCCCUAGCUGCCUCUGCCUUGCUUGUCUCAGAUGCUGAAAAGAUUGUUCUCUCUUACCCACUCACUUUACAUCCAUAUCAGGUUAUUGCUAUAUUAAAUAAUCUCCAAACACAGCACAUGACGGCGCAGCCCUGUUCGGGAUACGAAGUGAUUCUAUGUGCCACACAAAACCUUACCAUGAAACCAGUAAUCGCCCAUAUGAGUCCCACAGUUCUUCUACAUUGCUUAAUCCGUUCCUGUAGUUCAGAUCAAUUCCCUGACGCCUGGCUCAAACAUGAUUGUCUUAUUCACAUCCCGGAGACCUCAUUUAUUCGCUUAAACCUUUAUCAACAUCCCUUUGAGAGUGGGAUUCAUGUGUUGUGUUCAUUUUGAUGGCUCAUGCUCAAAAUGAAUGAUUAUACUAUCCUAUGUGGCUACGCAGUUUAUUUGCUACCUAACAUCAUUUACAAAGCAUAUUCAAUACCUUUUAAAUCAGUGCAGGCCACAGAGCUGGUUGCUCUUACAAGCGCAUGUCUUCUUUUCCAUGAUCGGGUUGUAACCAUCUACAAUGAUUCCAGAUAUGCCUUUGGGGUAACCAAUGAUGAAUUUGGCAUGUCUGUGGUUUUAAGGCUGCUGAUGGUAAGCCAGUUUACCAUGCUGCACUAGUCUCUGAUUUGUUAGCUUGCUUCCUAACUAACUUGCUGUAGUUAAAGUUUGUGGCCAUGACCCAAGCUAUUCAGAAGCUGCAAAGGGCAACUGUCUGGCUACCAAAGUAGCCACAUGGGCUGCCAAAGAGGGCUCAUCCUUAACUCAUGUUGAAACCUCAACUGUGUUUGCCCUUUUCUUGCACAUUCAUGUCCCUAGCGACAGUGACAUCAUGUUCCUGCAGUCUAACGCCACAGAGAGUGACCUGUCUUUUUGGCAUGCUUAUAAAUGCACACCUGGGGCAGAUGGUAUUAUGCUGUGUCCUCAAGGUCGUGUGGCACUGACUGUUGCUGUUUGACCUUUUCUUGUGUGCCAUUUUCAGUGUUUCUCAUGCCAUACAUAAGGGUGUGAUUAAUAAUAUCAACACUCAAUUCUGCAUCCCAUACAUCAGAAAGCCUGUCAAACUUCUGAUAAUCUGUGCCAGAGCCAAUGUACAGGGCAAAACAGCUAAACACGAUGCCUUAACCUCACCUGAUGCACCCUUUCAGAGUUUAUAGAUUGACUUCACACACACAUGCCACCGGUAAGAAACCUGAAAUAUCUUUUGGUAAUAGUUGACAAAAUCUCCAAGCUUUACCAUAUGCCAAGGAAAAUGCAAAUACUGUUGUCAAAAUUCUUGCCAAAUAAAUAAUACUAUGAUAUGGCAUACCACAAACAAUUGACAGUGAUAAUGGUACCCCAUUUGUGUCAAAGAUAACUCAAAAGCUUUGCAAGUACCUCAACAUUGACUGGAACUUUCACAUAUCAUACCAUCCACCAAGUUCAGGUAUUGUUGAACGAAAGAAAUGCACAAUCAAGGACAGGCUCACAAAGGCAAUAUUAGAAACAGGAAAAAUUAGGUCAACCUGUUACCAUCCGUCCUUUGAAUGACGCCAUAUCCGAAGUCACAAUUGUCUCCUUUUGAGAUCAUAAUGGGCAGAUGAUUUCCUUGGACUAAAGGUAACAAUGGUGUUUCUUUUACAGGAGAUCUGGACAUGAUUGUUUGCGAUUACACACAGACAUUGAUUGAAAAAUUAAACAGUGUGCAUGGUAAUGUUUCUGCCCCUCACCCUCUGCCCGCAAAAAAAGCCUACUCACCCCUUUCUCCCAGGUGAUACAGUGCUGGUGAAAAGUCUCAAUCCAAGGAAGGUUGGCAAAGAAGCAACCAUGAUACCAUUCCCCUGGUUUCUCUUAGCAAUAGGACUUAUGGUUCUCUGUCUCCUGGCUCCCGUGAUGAUAAAGGGACUUCAUCUUUACUCUCAUAACACAUUUUGGCUGUAUGCUAACCUCAUGGCCCACUAGAAAAAUAUAACAACUGCAUUAUCCUGCAAUACUCGGUAGAAACCCCUUUUUCUCUACACCCCCAUCAUCAGUGUAUACCCAGAGUUGGGUAUAAUGCAUUACAAAGUAAUGUAUUACUGUAUUAUAAUUACUUUUUCUGAUAACACAGUAAUGUAAUGCAUUACAUUAUAAAUUUCUAUAACUUGAUUACAAUUACCAAUGUCAAUACAAUUACGUUACUUGCAUUACAAAUUUAUUGUUAAGAAAAUAAUAUUAACUAAAAUGCAUUUUAAAAAUAAAUCACUUUUUGCAUGGCUGCCAGGAGUGGUCUGGGCAUUCAAAGAUUUUUUCUUUAACCACAAAUAAUUAUCCACUUGGAGCGGUUUGUCACUACGUAACUGAAUGUCAGCAAAAGAAUACACCAGUGUUGUCAUUUUAUGUCUUCAGUGAACUGAGACAGGGUUUACAGGAAAAUACGUAGAAACACUCGUGUCUUAUUGGCUGACAGCUCUCACUUCUCCCAAAUGCUAACUCACAGUCAGUGUGAAGAAAAAUGGAUAUACACUGAUUUUUUAUUAGAUUUUUUUUUUAAACCAGUAAAGGGGUUGAAACUAAAACAGUAACAUCCUCUCAUGCUGAGCAGAAAAACAAGGUGUGCAAAUGUCUGAGUUCCAGUUCACAUGAACAUGAUAUGAGCAGAGCAUAAGGAAAGAUAAUGUACUUUGCAUGGCACUGUAGCAGCUAAACCCAUACAACGAUAGCUUAGUUGUAACCCUAACCCUAACCCUAACCCAAACUAGCCUAGUUAGAAAAGUUUUAUAUUUUAUCAGUCUGGUAGUCCUACAAACAGUGACAACACCCAAGGCAAGUUUUAUGACAAAUCCGACUUUUUCUGGUCAUGGCAUACAUUGACACAUGCUAAAAUUACUGAAAGAACUAUGAGUUUCACUUUGUAGUGGAUUUUUGUAGGUUGUAUAGGCUUUGAAAGUAAUUUGAAAGUAAUCUGAUUACUUUUUACAUGCAGUAAUCAAUAAUGUAAUCAAAAUACAAUUUUAAAGUAGUAAUUAGUCAUUUGUAGUGGAUUACUUUUUGAGUAACUUACCCAACACUGAUUGUACAUAAGCUUAAUUCUAUGCUCAUGAGGAUGGCUGGUGCUAGUCUCACCAUGUGGAGACCUGGCCACUUUCAUAGCAAUUGCUUGAUCGUUGCUAAUCACUCCUCAUCAUAUCCAAUGUUUCUUGUUCAAUGUCAGGAUUUGGAUCACAUGAAGCCCAUAUAACUGUAGCUAAGCCUAGUGACCCUUACCCAGUAUGCAUUAACUGCACAAGAGCAAAGAAGGAACUGGGCACCCUGUCCAGGUUCUCUUGUAAAUUUAUCUUUAAUGCUUAUAAUCAGAGUUGUUUGUGUGCCACUUCUCCACGAACAACUCCACUAUGUUCACUUCUCCACCUCGAUUGGGUUGGCUCCCUAUUUAUCCAAGAUUGGUACUGAGUCUGUGGCUCUAAUGCCUACUUUUAUCUUCCUUUUAAUUGGUCUGGUGUCAGUGCCUUUACGUCCUUAAGAAAUCCAAUUACCAUUAUCUCCUAUGAACAUGCUGGUAGAUUCAAGCACUCAGUAAAAUCUGACAAUGAAUUCCCUCCUCC